GUGCACCAGGCGAGAAUUUUUCUCAAUGGGCGAAAGCCUGAAGGAGCGACGCCGCGUGGGGGAUGAAUGGCUUCGGCCCGUAAACCCCUGUCAUUUGUGAACAAAUUGCUUCACCCAACACGUGAGGCAUUGAUAGUAACGGAAGAGGAAGGGACGGCUAACUCUGUGCCAGCAGCCGCGGUAAUACAGAGGUCCCAAGCGCUGUUCGGAUUCACUGGGCGUAAAGGGUGCGUAGGCGGUCGGGUAAGUCUGACGUGAAAUCUCCGGGCCUAACCGGAAACUGCGUCGGAUACUAUCCGGCUAGAGGAUUGGAAGGGAGACUGGAAUACUUGGUGUAGCAGUGAAAUGCGUAGAUAUCAAGUGGAACACCAGUGGCGAAGGCGAGUCUCUGGACAAUUCCUGACGCUGAGGCACGAAAGCCAGGGGAGCAAACGGGAUUAGAUACCCCUGUAGU
rnacentral:rRNA from 1 species